rnacentral:misc_RNA from 1 species
GAUGAAGAACGCAGUGAAAUGCGAUAAGUAAUGUGAAUUGCAGAAUUCAGUGAAUCAUCGAAUCUUUGAACGCAUCUUGCGCUCCUUGGUAUUCCUUGGAGCAUGCCUGUUUGAGUAUCAUGAGCAAAUCUCAAAGUCAAUUCCUUUUGUUGAUUCAAUUGGUUUUGCUUUGGACUUGGAGGCCUUGCAGAUUUCACAGUCUGCUCCUCUUAAAUGCAUUAGCUGGAUCUCAGUAAUUAUGCUUGGUUCCACUCGGCGUGAUAAGUAUCACUCGCUGAGGACACUGUUAAAAAGGUGGCCAGGAAAAUACUGAUUGAACCGCUUCUAACGGUCUAUUAAGUUAGACAAUUACCCUUAAGUUUGAUCUCAAAUCAGGUAGGACUACCCGCUGAACUUAAGCAUAUCAAUAAGCGGAGGA